rnacentral:rRNA from 1 species
AAAGCGUGCGCAGGCGGUUAUGUAAGACAGAUGUGAAAUCCCCGGGCUCAACCUGGGAACUGCAUUUGUGACUGCAUGGCUAGAGUACGGUAGAGGGGGAUGGAAUUCCGCGUGUAGCAGUGAAAUGCGUAGAUAUGCGGAGGAACACCGAUGGCGAAGGCAAUCCCCUGGACCUGUACUGACGCUCAUGCACGAAAGCGUGGGGAGCAAACAGGAUUAGAUACCCCUGU